GACCUGUCCAUGGUCAAGGUGCCUCAUGUGUUCGCACGCAUCCUGGAGGAUGUCCAGAAGGAGGGUGGAGUCAACGUCAACGCCGUCUCUGUUCAAGAGGUGGAUGCGGCUCUACAGAAGCUACAGGUUCAGCUGGAAGGCCAUGGCCAGCAAUCAUACUCACCAUGUUUUAACAAUAUUUCUGUUUCACUGUUUCAACUUGCAUCCCCUGUUCGCCUUCAUGAUGCACAGAUCAGCCAACCAACAACACUGAUGGCGAGGCAGGGGUUGAGGUGGGUCUAUUUCACGCCGGCAGUGAGCAUGACAGUGACUUCAACCUUCAGCCGACUGCAGGGCAGAGAACUCCAGAGCGCAACAGUCCCAGCAGCAACAACCUCGCCAGCACCUUCUCCACCACAACGGCGCUGCAACGCAGCAGCCCACGCAGCACCAACGUCAUCAACACUUUCUUCACCACACCGGCGCAAGUGCUCCAUGAACCUCUAGUGGAGGAACAUAGGGACGAGCAGAACCAGCAGCUCAAGGAGGGGACGAACAAAACCCACCGACCACGACGCGUCUUCGACAUGUCCACGCCCAUCGAGGUUGCACUACAGGAAUUUCUGUCCAUGUUCCAGGGGCCGGUGCCGCAGGACAUCAUUGUGGCACUGACAGCCAUCUUCAACCUCAACGACCCAGUGGCCGAGCAGCUUGAUGAAGCCAUGGUGGUGGUGGCUGGUGAAGCCAUUGAAGAUUUCUAGGAAGAAGCCUCAUGUCAGCCUGAAGCUAUCCAGGCAAUGCCUACCCAGGCAGCAACCAUCCAACAGGCCAACUGAUUUGUGUCUCCAGCAGCAUCGAGAGUUCUCAAGCCACCAAUGUUAAGUGCAGUGUAUCAGUUACUUUCCAGGGAAAAAACCAUCCACAAUCUCCAGAUGUUCAAUGCGUCUUCCCAAUUUGUUUGUAAGCCUAAAGCCGGACAGAUGACAUGGGCUAGCAGCUAUGUUUGCAUCAUUGUGUGUUCACCUUUAGCAUAUGCAUCUUCUCAAUCUGGUUGUAAUCCUAGAACCAGACACCUGAGUUGGGCCAUCAUUUAUGCUUGCAUCGACCUUUGUUUA